AAUAUUGGGCAAUGGAGGAAACCCUGAUCCAGCCAUCCCGCGUGUAUGAUGAAGGCCUUCGGCUUGUAAAGUACUUUUGGCAGAGAAGAAAAGGUAUCCCCUAAUACUGGAUACUGCUGACGGUAUCUGGAGAAUAAGCCCCGUCUAACUACGUGCCAUCAGCCGCGGUAAUACGUAGGGUGCAAGCGUUAAUCGGAAUUACUGGGCGUAAAGCGUGUGUAGGCGGUUCGGAAAGAAAGAUGUGAAAGCCCAGGGCGCAACCUUGGAACUGCAUGUUUAACUGCCGAGCUAGAGUAUGUCAGAGGGGGGUAGAAUUCCACGUGUAGCAGUGAAAUGCGUAGAUAUGUGGAGGAAUACAGAUGGCGAAGGCAGCCCCCUGGGAUAAUACUGACGCUCAGACACGAAAGCGUGGGGAGCAAACAGG
rnacentral:rRNA from 1 species